GUGAUACUAAGCCAUGCGAGUCAUUGUAGCAAUACAAGGCAUACGGCUCAGUAACGCGUAGUCAACCUAACCUAUGGACGGGAAUAACCUCGGGAAACUGAGAAUAAUGCCCGAUAGGACAUUAUGCCUGGAAUGGUUUAUGUUCCAAAUGAUUUAUCGCCGUAGGAUGGGACUGCGGCCUAUCAGUUUGUUGGUGAGGUAAUGGCCCACCAAGACUAUUACAGGUACGGGCUCUGAGAGGAGUAGCCCGGAGAUGGGUACUGAGACACGGACCCAGGCCCUAUGGGGCGCAGCAGGCGAGAAAACUUUGCAAUGUGCGAAAGCACGACAAGGUUAAUCCGAGUGGUUUCUGCUAAAGGAACCUUUUGUCAGUCCUAGAAACACUGAUGAAUAAGGGGUGGGCAAGUUCUGGUGUCAGCCGCCGCGGUAAAACCAGCACCUCAAGUGGUCAGGAUGAUUAUUGGGCCUAAAGCAUCCGUAGCCGGCUCUGUAAGUUUUCGGUUAAAUCUGUACGCUCAACGUACAGGCUGCCGGGAAUACUGCAAAGCUAGGGAGUGGGAGAGGUAGACGGUACUCGGUAGGAAGGGGUAAAAUCCUUUGAUCUAUUGAUGACCACCUGUGGCGAAGGCGGUCUACCAGAACACGUCCGACGGUGAGGGAUGAAAGCUGGGGGAGCAAACCGGAUUAGAUACCCGGGUAGUCCCAGCUGUAAACUAUGCAAACUCAGUGAUGCAUUGGCUUGUGGCCAAUGCAGUGCUGCAGGGAAGCCGUUAAGUUUGCCGCCUGGGAAGUACGUACGCAAGUAUGAAACUUAAAGGAAUUGGCGGGGGAGCACCACAAGGGGUGAAGCCUGCGGUUCAAUUGGAGUCAACGCCGGG
rnacentral:rRNA from 2 species